GACGAACGCUGACGGCGUGCUUAACACAUGCAAGUCGAAGGGAGUGGCGAACGGGUGAGUAACACGUGAGUAACCUGCCCUUUUCUUUGGGAUAAGCCUGGGAAACUGGGUCUCAUACUGGAUGGUUUGGGAUGGGCUCGUGGCUUCUCAGCUUGUUGGUGGGGUGAUGGCUUACCAAGGCUUUGCAGGGUAGCCGGCCUGAGAGGGGGGCCGGUCACAGUGUGACGGAGAUGCGGCCCAGACUCCUACGGGGGGCAGAAGUGGGGGAUAUUGCACAAUGGACGAAAGUCUGAUGCAGCGACGUCGUGUGGGGUAUGAAGGCCUUCGGGUUGUAAACUCCUUUCGCCCGCGGAAUGGUAGUUGGUAAAGAAGCGCCGGCUAACUACGUGCCAGCAGCCGCGGUAAUAC
rnacentral:rRNA from 1 species